GUCCUUACCUGUCAGGGGACGUGCCAUGAUCAUGAAGCUGGUUUUCCAGGGUUUGGUUCAUCCAUUGCACUCCAGAUGUGCUAACCCCUGUGAUUUCCCCAAAUGUAGAAAACUCAACUGCAUGAUUUGUGGUAGUGGGGGACUGAGUUCAUGCUCUCCCUAG